UACGUAGGGGGCAAGCGUUAUCCGGAUUUACUGGGUGUAAAGGGAGCGUAGACGGUUGUAUAAGUCUGGAGUGAAAGCCCGGGGCCCAACCCCGGGACUGCUUUGGAAACUGUGUAACUUGAGUACAGGAGGGGCAGGCGGAAUUCCUGGUGUAGCGGUGAAAUGCGUAGAUAUUAGGAGGAACACCAGUGGCGAAGGCGGCUUGCUGGACGAUGACUGACGUUGAGGCUCGAAAGCGUGGGGAGCAAACAGG
rnacentral:rRNA from 1 species